ACGGGUGAGUAACACGUGGGAACGUACCCUGAACUACGGAACAGCUCCGGGAAACUGGAAUUAAUACCGUAUGUGUCCUGAGGGACAAAGGUUUACCGGUUCAGGAUCGGCCCGCGUCCGAUUAGCUAGUUGGUGGGGUAAUGGCCUACCAAGGCGACGAUCGGUAGCUGGUCUGAGAGGAUGAUCAGCCACAUUGGGACCGAGACACGGCCCAAACUCCUACGGGAGGCAGCAGUGGGGUAUAUUGGACAAUGGGCGCAAGCCUGAUCCAGCCAUGCCGCGUGAGUGAUGAAGGUCUUAGGAUUGUAAAGCUCUUUCACCGGGGACGAUAAUGACGGUACCCGGAGAAGAAGCCCCGGCUAACUUCGUGCCAGCAGCCGCGGUAAUACGAAGGGGGCUAGCGUUGUUCGGAAUUACUGGGCGUAAAGCGCACGUAGGCGGACAUUUAAGUCAGGGGUGAAAUCCCGGGGCUCAACCCCGGAACUGCCUUUGAUACUGGGUGUCUUGAGUGUGGUAGAGGUGAGUGGAAUUGCGAGUGUAGAGGUGAAAUUCGUAGA
rnacentral:rRNA from 1 species